rnacentral:lncRNA from 1 species
GCUCCUGGGAAGCAGUUGCAGAUUCAUAUUCUUGGGAUGUCACUUAAAUGGAAGUACUGGAAUAAUUGCAAGAAAGCAAAUUACAUAAAUUAACAACACUGGGCUGAGUUUAAUCCACCAGCUGCAUCCUUGUGUGCUCUGUGGCCAUAAGAUCCUGAUUUUGCUGCUUUAUUUUAAGGGACCAAGAUAAGGUGGAAGUGAGAGCUGUCCUUUGUGCAUUUCAGGCUGUGGAGAAGGCAUUUGCAGUGCCAAAGGGAUUUUACUGGCAGACAGUUGAGAGUGAUGACAAACACUUCCCUGACAGCAGUGCCAUGGAAGCUUGCAGAGACACAGACACUGAGGUUGCCAUGGUGCUGCUGUUUGAGGCUCUCUUCCGAAGCCCCCUGGAGACCCAUCACACUCUGCAGCUGCUGCUGGGCUCUGGGCUGGAUGUCUGCGGCCUCCGCCUGCUCUACCCCGGCCAGGACCUGCUGCUCUCCAGCUCAGGUGGGCUCUGCUUCUCCUCCACAGCUUCCAUCGUGCUGAGGAAGGCUCAGAUCUAUAAAUGCACUGAGGUGAAGGGUGAUCAGAGUCAGAUUUGCAUGAGGGCUGCUUUAUCAGUUCCUGUAUCUUUCCCAAAAGAAAUUAGAGAAUAGCUUUGACUGUUUCUUUCUUUCUGUUCCCACUGUUGAAU